rnacentral:rRNA from 1 species
GACGAACGCUGGCGGCGUGCCUAAUACAUGCAAGUCGAACGCUUCUUUCCUCCCGAGUGCUUGCACUCAAUUGGAAAGAGGGGUGGCGGACGGGUUAGUAACACUUGGGUAACCUACCCAUCAGCGGGGGAUAACACUUGGAAACAGGUGCUAAUAUCGCAUAACAGUUUAUGCCGCAUGGCAUGAGAGUGAAAGGCGCUUUCGGGUGUCGUUGAUGGAUGGACCCGCGGUGCAUUAGCUAGUUGGUGAGGUAACGGCUCACCAAGGCCACGAUGCAUAGCCGACCUGAGAGGGUGAUCGGCCACACUGGGACUGAGACACGGCCCAGACUCCUACGGGAGGCAGCAGUAGGGAAUCUUCGGCAAUGGACGAAGGUCUGACCGAGCAACGCCGCGUGAGUGAAGAAGGUUUUCGGAUCGUAAAACUCUGUUGUUAGAGAAGAACAAGGACGUUAGUAACUGAACGUCCCCUGACGGUACCUAACCAGAAAGCCACGGCUAACUACGUG